UAGGGAAUAUUGGGCAAUGGGUGAGAGCCUGACCCAGCCAUGCCGCGUGCCGGAAGACGGCCCUCUGGGUUGUAAACGGCUUUUAUGAGGGAACAAAAGGGUCCUGCGGGACAGAUUGCGUGUACCUUAUGAAUAAGCACCGGCUAACUCCGUGCCAGCAGCCGCGGUAAUACGGAGGGAGCUAGCGUUGUUCGGAAUUACUGGGCGUAAAGCGCGCGUAGGCGGCUAUUCAAGUCAGGGGUGAAAUCCCGGGGCUCAACCCCGGAACUGCCCUUGAAACUAGGUAGCUAGAAUACUGGAGAGGUGAGUGGAAUUCCGAGUGUAGAGGUGAAAUUCGUAGAUAUUCGGAAGAACACCAGUGGCGAAGGCGACUCACUGGACAGUUAUUGACGCUGAGGUGCGAAAGCGUGGGGAGC
rnacentral:rRNA from 1 species